AUGGGAAGUCGCAACACCGUCCUCGUAUCAAAUCUGGGCAAAUUAAUCUACCAAAAAACAAAUCCCGGGGAAGCGUUGUCACCUGGUGACAAUCUGUUACAGAAUCUGGCGCUUCACUUUGAGGUUCCCGACGUGCGUGGCAACACGUUGCGAAACAAAACUACGCGCCUGCAACCCCGCUGGAUGGCCCCGCGGCCGGAAGAGCCACGUCGGCUCCGCCCACCUUUGUGUCGUGGGCGGGGCGUUUCCGGCCGGCUGACGCGCAAGCGCCGGGAGGCCCCGCCCCCAUCCCGCCUCCCGCGAUAUCGUGUGGUCCGGCAUCAAGCUGUGGGGCGGUCGCCAGCUCGGUUCUUCGGGACCUUCGGGACAGGGCCGGGGAGCCCGCCCAAAAAGGUCGUUUCCCCUGCAGUUUCCAACAUGGCAGGCAAGUUUUAUAGACAUGGAUAAGAAGUCCAUACACAGAAGUCCUGAAGAUGCCGGGACCGGCAGAAAUGGAGGACAAAAGAUGAAACAUCAAGAAAAAGAAAGAGAAGAAAAAAAGGAGGGAACGGCCACAUGCUAUCACCUUUCCAAG
rnacentral:lncRNA from 1 species